UCAGAACGAGCGCUGGCGGCGCGUCUUAAGCAUGCAAGUCGAACGGCAAGGAUGGUAGCUUGCUACUAUCCCUAGAGUGGCGGACUGGUGAGUAACACGUGGGUGACCUACCCUGAGAUGGGGAUAGCCAUUAGAAAUAGUGGAUAAUACCGAAUACGCUCUACAGACUCUGGUUUGUAGAGGAAACAGGCUACGGCCUGGCUCGAGGAUGGGCCCGCGUCCCAUUAGCUAGUUGGUGAGGUAAGAGCCCACCAAGGCGACGAUGGGUAUCCGGCCUGAGAGGGUGUACGGACACAUUGGGACUGAGAUACGGCCCAAACUCCUACGGGAGGCAGCAGCUAAGAAUAUUCCGCAAUGGACGAAAGUCUGACGGAGCGACGCCGCGUGGAUGACGAAAAGGCCGAAAGGUUGUAAAAUCCUUUUGCUGAUGAAGAAUAAGCGUGGUAGGGAAUGACUGCGUGAUGACAUUAGUCGGUGAAUAAGCCCCGGCUAACUACGUGCCAGCAGCUGC
rnacentral:rRNA from 1 species